CAGAGUCGAACCCAGGACCUUCUUGCUGUGAGGCGACAGUGCUGACCACCACGCCACCGUGCCGCGAGAGAAUGUCUGACUAUUAUAAUUGUAGAAAGAACCUCCAUGCUAACAGCUUGGUUACAAAUCGUACAUUUACCUCACUGUACACAUGAAUGGAACAAAAAAAUAGACUCAUUUAUAUGAAUGUUUUAACAUAGCACUACCAGUGUUCAGCCUCGAUGAAUUUUCUUAUGUUUGAAACGGGACGGUAAGGGAUUCAGAGAGGGAUUUGGUUUGUUGUGGUGUGCAACCUCACCACUAGAUUCCUCCAAUUCCUUCAAAUGCACUUUUGAAUUUGUUUUGGUUUUGUAGCUAACAUCUCCAUCGGGUGACUUUCUCCCAUCUCCAAGGAGAUGUGGAGUCCUCACCUGAAGGGAGUGUUUAUGGACGCUGUUCAAAUGUGGAAGAUCUCAGGCCCCUUUUCCACCAAGGCAGAACUGGUGCUAGUUCGGAGCCAGAGCCUACUUUCAAAUCGGUUCUUUGGUUUUCCACCACCAAAGCACCAGCUCCGAACCAGUAAAAUGGUUCUUAAGUAGCACCAUAUCAUUGCUGGUCUAGAAGAACCGCUUAUGUCAGCGGCUGGGGGCGGGGUUACCGUGACCAACAAGAUGAGAUAAACUUUGUGAUCCGCCAUUUUUUGAUAGCAGCUAAUCGAGCUUACAACAACACAAUGGACGCUAUUAGGCAAAAACAGCACUGGUCAGACGAGGAAACAAGCUGCUUUCUUGCACUCUGGUCCUCUUCAGAAGUCCAGAGUAAGUUAGAUGGGGCUUCGCAGACGAAACCGGUUUUGCAGCAGAUUCAGAGAGAGAUGGCUGUAGCUGGUUUUGACCAGAACCUCGUCCAGAUAACAAACAAACUAAAAAAACUAAAGAAAGACUGUGGGACCAAAAAAGGACCUCGCUCGAAGCGGCAAUGGGUGCCCACGCCAAAAUCCACAUUUCAACGUUCUCGACUGUGUUCUCGGCGAUAGGCCAGCAUGCCAGGUGACCGGGGCGGUGAACUUGGCCACAAUAAUGCUCGAGUCAAUGCUGGAUGAUUUGCCGCAGCAAAGUUGCACUGAUCACGGUAAGUUCAGUUUUUAUUUGACUUGCUCUUAUCUUUGCAUGUUUCUUAGCUGUUAAAGCACUGUUGUCUUGUGUUUAUUUUUCUAGAUCUGUCUGCCAUCAACGGCCGUGAAGACAACGUUGCAUUGCCGCCACCGGUGGGCUGCAGCUCUCCCGUGCCGUCGUGUAGCAGCUCUGGAGAAGCAUCUUCAGAACAGGGAAAAAUGAAGAGAGAUGGUACCUCGGAAAUCCUUCAAUAUCUGGAAAGAGCAGAUGAGAGGUUCCUGCAGCACAUCAAGGCAAUGGAUAAUGCCUUGUGUCAGGACAUGAGAGCGGACACACAAUCCUUGCUUGGACUCAUGGGGCGCAUGGUGGCCGUAUUGGAGGCACAAGUUAAAAAAUAAUUUUGCCGCUUUUCAUGUAAUUUUUUUAAUUCUUUUACAAUUGUUGUUACCUAUAGAACUUUAUUUUUUUUAUAAGAUUUUUGGUUUAAAUAAACCGGGCCAGUGUGAAAGGGUUGUUAUUGAGGAUGAUUGAUAAAUGAUUCACAAAAUGCAAGUUUUAGAGAUUACAUGGUUCAUUUAAUGGAUGAGAAUGUAAUACAAUUCAAAAGUUUUGAUUUCAAUAAACACAAACUGCAGUGUUACAAAAAUAUUGCAACAAAUAUAGCUUUGGUGUAUUCAAAGAAUCACUCGUUUCCUCUGUUAAAAUGCAUCAUUAAUGCAGCUCUGAUGUCAGCCCCUUCUGUGUUUGCCCGCUCAGGUAUUGUCUGAGCAGUAGGCUCUAUGUUUAGAGUCCUGUCUGGGUGCUCUUCACUGAAAUUAUCACCAUGUUCCUCACAAAUGUUAUGGAGGACACAGCAGGUCAGUGCCAUCCUCUUGCUCAGUUCCAGCUCGCAGUCGUUUCUUUUUAGGAGGCAUCACCAUUGUCCUUUUAAUCUCCCAAAAGACAUCUCCACAACCGAUCGUGCACUGCUCAGCCUGUAAUUGUAUGUGUGCUGUUCAGGGGUCAGUCUGCCAGUGUCGCAAAAGGGCUUCAUGAGCCUAUUCUGCAUGGGAUAUGCCGGAUCACCGAUCAGGUAAUGUCCAACAUCACAGCCAGAGAGACACUUUGUUUUGCCUUAGUAAUUUCCCGUCACUUAAGGCCUCCCACAAAUGUGACUGUCGUAGCACUCUGGCGUCAUGCACACUCCCUGGAUAGCCAACACAAACAUCCCAGAAUAGACCUUUGCCAUCCACAACUGCUUGCAGAACAAUAGAAUGCCAGCCUUUAUGAUUGAAAUAGUCUCGUGGAUAGUCCUCUGGUGCAAUUAUUGGAAUGUGGCUGCCAUCAAUUGCACCCACACACUGUGGAAUUCUUCAACAAUUAUUAAAGAAAGUGGCCAUUUCUAGCAACUGUUCAGCAUCAGGAAAUCUUAUGUGGAUGGGAAGGAACACUAUGAGCACUGUGUUGCAGAAUUCCUGAACACAAUUAAAUACAGUGCUGAGGCCUACUCUAAAAAGAUAACUGUCCUGUAUUCAACACCCGUGGCCAGUUUCCAGAUGGCAAUAGCCACAUGCUUUUGGAUUGGGACACACAAAGGGUAGUUUGUGUUUCUUCUCCAUAUGGCAUGAUUGACCUGACAGCAGAUGUACUCAAAUGAUCCUGGGGAUACGCAGAAAUUCUGCAUGAAUUGUAACGCGGUGAAAUCCGGAACAAUUGUGUCCCACCAGUGGUCAGAUUGGUCAAGAGUGGUCAAGGCAAGGCGGUGACCUCCGCCUUGCCUUGAGCUGCAAGAUUGCCUGUAAAGAUUUUAAAAAAUACAUACGUUUCAUCUAUGGGCAAUAGGGUAUACGUAUAUUUUCUAUCAAGUGUACAGUGCUGUAUAAAUACUAUAUAAAUAGUUGAGCUGUAGCUGUGAAGCGUUUAUUAAUUCAAAGUACCACUUAAAAGACAGGGCUACUUUAUUUAUAAGGUUUUUUUCUGUCUUUUUAGGUUCAUGCAUUGUGUUUUUCAGACAACGUACUGGUCAGGUGUUAGCAGAUUUUCUAGUUUUAAUACUGUGAGUGGUUUUUGCCUAUGACUCAGACAUACAUACAAGUGUACGAUGGCGUCGUUAUACUUAUUCAACCAAUGCUUAAUAAAAAAUGUUUAACCGCAAUGCGAUCGAUUAUCAGCUAAGUCGAUGUUAGGAGGUUAGCAACAUGCUAAGGCUAAAUAUGAAUCUCAGGCUAAAGUCGGCAUCUUAUUGUUAAAAAUAAAUGUUGUACAUACCGUUACUCUCGCUUGUAAUCUCCGUCUGUACAAAUAAAGGCGAGCCGCGAGAAUA